rnacentral:rRNA from 1 species
GACGAACGCUGGCGGCGUGCUUAACACAUGCAAGUCGAACGGAAAGACCCUGCUUUUGUGGGGUGCUCGAGUGGCGAACGGGUGAGUAACACGUGAGUAACCUGCCCUUGACUUUGGGAUAACUUCAGGAAACUGGGGCUAAUACCGGAUAGGAGCUCCUGCUGCAUGGUGGGGGUUGGAAAGUUUCGGCGGUUGGGGAUGGACUCGCGGCUUAUCAGCUUGUUGGUGGGGUAGUGGCUUACCAAGGCUUUGACGGGUAGCCGGCCUGAGAGGGUGACCGGCCACAUUGGGACUGAGAUACGGCCCAGACUCCUACGGGAGGCAGCAGUGGGGAAUAUUGCACAAUGGGCGGAAGCCUGAUGCAGCAACGCCGCGUGCGGGAUAACGGCCUUCGGGUUGUAAACCGCUUUCGCCUGUGACGAAGCGUGAGUGACGGUAAUGGGUAAAGAAGCACCGGCUAACUACGUG